GUAGCAAAAUCUGGUAUUGCAAAAGACCUAAACUCUUUCUACAGAGGUUCAAAUCCUCUCAUUAACU
rnacentral:tRNA from 1 species